UCUACGGGUGGCAGCAGUGGGGAAUAUUGCACAAUGGGGGAAACCCUGAUGCAGCGACGCCGCGUGAAGGAAGAAGUAUUUCGGUAUGUAAACUUCUAUCAGCAGGGAAGAAAAUGACGGUUCCUGACUAAGAAGCCUCGGCUAAAUACGUGCCAGCAGCCGCGGUCAUACGUAGGCGGCGAGCGUUAUCCGGAUUUACUGGUUGUAAAGGGAGCGUAGGCGGCAGGGCAAGCCUGAGGUGAAAGCCCGGGGCCCAACCCCGGGACUGCUUUGGGAACUGCCUUGCUGGAGUGCCGGAGGGGCAGGCGGAAUUCCUAGUGUAGCGGUGAAAUGCGUAGAUAUUAGGAGGAACACCAGUGGCGAAGGCGGCCUGCUGGACGGUGACUGACGCUGAGGCUCGAAAGCGUGGGGAGCAAACAGGAUUAGAUACCCUUGUAGUC
rnacentral:rRNA from 1 species